rnacentral:rRNA from 1 species
UACAGGGGGGGGGCAAGCGUUGUUCGGAAUUACUGGGCGUAAAGGGCUCGUAGGCGGCCAACUAAGUCAGACGUGAAAUCCCUAGGCUCAACCUAGGAACUGCGUCUGAUACUGGAUGGCUUGAAUCCGGGAGAGGGAUGCAGAAUUCCAGGUGUAGCGGUGAAAUGCGUAGAUAUCUGGAGGAAUACCGGUGGCGAAGGCGGCAUCCUGGACCGGCAUUGACGCUGAGGAGCGAAAGCCAGGGGAGCAAACGGG